UGCGUAGGCGGAUUAAUAAGUCAGUGGUGAAAUCUCCCGGCUCAACCGGGAAACUGCCAUUGAUACUGUUAGUCUAGAGUUUAGAUGAAGUGGGCGGAAUGUAGCAUGUAGCGGUGAAAUGCUUAGAUAUGCUACAGAACACCGAUUGCGAAGGCAGCUCACUAAGCUAAAACUGACGCUCAUGCACGAAAGCGUGGGGAUCAAACCGGAUUAGAUACCCGAGUAGUCC
rnacentral:rRNA from 1 species